rnacentral:rRNA from 1 species
GACGAACGCUGGCGGCGUGCUUAACACAUGCAAGUCGAACGAAGUGGCGAACGGGUGAGUAAUACGUGGGUAACCUGCCCUCCUUUUUGGGAUAAGCCUUGGAAACGGGGGCUAAUACCGAAUAAAGGGGGAUGGGCUCGCGGCCUAUCAGCUUGUUGGUGGGGUGAUGGCCUCCCAAGGCGGUGACGGGUAGCCGGCCUGAGAGGGUGCCCGGCCACAUUGAGACUGAGAUCCGGCCCCGGCUCCUACGGGGGGCAGCAGUGGGGGAUGUUGCAAAAUGGAAGACAGCCUGACGCCGCGACGCCGCGUGGGGGUUGGGGGCUUUCGGGUUGUAAACCUCUUUGACUGUCGGACGGGUAGGUGGAGAAGAAGCGCCGGCUAACUACGUGCCAGCAGCCGCGGUAAUAC